UUCCGGUUGAUCCCGCCGGACCCCACUGCUAUCGAGAUGGGACUAAGGUAUGCUAGUCGAACGACCAGAACUAUGUCUGGAAGUGGCACACUGCUCAGUAACACGUAGCUAACCUACCCUUAGGACGUGGAUACCCCCGAGAAAUUGGGGUUAAUCCGCGAUAGGUGUAAUGUCCUGGAAUGGUAUUACGCCUAAAGGUGUAUCAUACAUGUUUGAUAUACGCCUAAGGAUGGGGCUGCGGCCGAUCAGGCUGUUGGUGAGGUAAUGGCUCACCAAACCUUUGACCGGUACGGGCCAUGAGAGUGGUAGCCCGGAGAUGGACACUGAGACAAGGGUCCAGGCCCUAAGGGGCGCAGCAACCGCGAAACCUCCACAAUGCACUCACGUGCGAUGGGGCUAUCUCGAGUGCCACCUGAUGAAGGUGGCUUUUCCUAGGUCUUCAAAGCCUUGGGAAUAAGAGGGGGGCAAGACUGGUGUCAGCCGCCGCGGUAACACCAGCCCCUCGAGUGGUGGGGAUGAUUAUUUGGCCUAAAGCGUCCGUAGCCGGCCGAGCAAGUCUUCCGUUAAAUCCAGCGUCUCAAGCGUUGGACUGCGGGAGAUACUACACGGCUAGAGAGUGGGAGAGGUCAGCGGUAUUCUGGGGGUAGGGGCGAAAUCCUUUGAUCCCCGGAGGACCACCAGUGGCGAAGGCUGCUGACUAGAACACGUCUGACGGUCAGGGACGAAAGCUGGGGUAGCGAACCGGAUUAGAUACCCGGGUAGUCCCAGCUGUAAACGAUGCAGGCUAGGGUG
rnacentral:rRNA from 1 species